UACGGAGGGGGCAAGCGUUGUUCGGAAUUACUGGGCGUAAAGGGCGCGCAGGCGGCUGCUCAAGUCAGGCGUGAAAGGCCUGGGCUCAACCCGGGAAUUGCGCUUGAGACUGGGCUGGCUUGAGUGCGGGAGAGGAUGGUGGAAUUCCCAGUGUAGAGGUGAAAUUCGUAGAUAUUGGGAAGAACACCGAUGGCGAAGGCAAUCCCCUGGGCCUGCACUGACGCUCAUGCACGAAAGCGUGGGGAGCAAACAGG
rnacentral:rRNA from 1 species